AGUCAUAUGCUUGUCUCAAAGAUUAAGCCAUGCAUGUCUAAGUAUAAACAACUUUAUACUGUGAAACUGCGAACGGCUCAUUAUAUCAGCAAUAAUUUAUUUGAUGGUUCCUUACUACACGGAUAACUGUAGUAAUUCUAGAGCUAAUACGUGCGUAAAAUCCCGACUCUUGCGGGGAGGGAUGUAUUUAUUAGAUAAAAAGCCAGCGCGGGUUCUGCCCGGUUUUGUGGUGAAUCAUAGUAACUUUUCGAAUCGCAUGGCUUCACGCCGGCGAUAGUUCAUUCAAAUUUCUGCCCUAUCAGCUUUCGACGGUAGUGUAGUGGACUACCGUGGCAUUAACGGGUAACGGAGAAUUAGGGUUCGAUUCCGGAGAGGGAGCCUGAGAAACGGCUACCACAUCCAAGGAAGGCAGCAGGCGCGCAAAUUACCCAAUUCUGACACAGAGAGGUAGUGACAAAAAAUAACAAUACCUGGCUUCUUUAGGUCGGGUAAUUGCAAUGAGUACAAUUUAAAUCCCUUAACGAGGAUCCAU
rnacentral:rRNA from 1 species